rnacentral:misc_RNA from 1 species
UCGGCAUGCGCGGUCAGCCCG